rnacentral:rRNA from 1 species
UAGCUGCGUUAUUUACCACGAAUUGCAGACGCUUAGAGUGGUGAAAUUUUGAACGCAUAGCGCCGUUGGGUUUUCCCUUCGGCACGUCUGGUUCAGGGUUGUU